rnacentral:misc_RNA from 1 species
UUUCUUUGAUGCCAACUUGGCCCUCACAAAGCAGCCUCCAAAGUUUGACUUCAAUGACCCGAAGACCCCGUUCUACACUUCUGCUAGGUUCUUACCUCCUACAAAAGUUGACAAAAGCAGGAUAGUGGAUGCAAUAAUUUCACAUGGCUGCUUUCUGAGGGAAUGUAACAUUCAGCACUCCAUAGUUGGUGUACGAUCACGCUUAGACUAUGGUGUUGAGUUUAAGGAUACCAUGAUGAUGGGUGCAGAUUAUUAUCAAACUGAAUCCGAGAUUGCUUCACUAUUAGCAGAAGGAAAGGUUCCAAUAGGGGUCGGGCCAAACACUAAGAUACAGAAAUGCAUAAUUGACAAGAACGCAAAG